rnacentral:rRNA from 1 species
UACGUAGGGGGCGAGCGUUGUUCGGAAUUACUGGGCGUAAAGGGCGUGUAGGCGGUGCGGUAAGUCGGGCGUGAAAUCCUCGGGCUUAACCCGGGGCGGUCGUUCGAAACUGCCGUGCUUGAGUGUGGGAGAGGGAAGUGGAAUUCUCGGUGUAGCAGUGAAAUGCGUAGAUAUCGAGAGGAACACCAGUGGCGAAGGCGAGUCCCUGGACAGAUCCUGACGCUGAGGCACGAAAGCUAGGGGAGCAAACAGG